CCUACGGGUGGCAGCAGUGGGGAAUAUUGCACAAUGGGGGAAACCCUGAUGCAGCAACGCCGCGUGAGUGAAGAAGUAUUUAGGUAUGUAAAGCUCUAUCAGCAGGGAAGAAGAUGACGGUACCUGAGUAAGAAGCCCCGGCUAACUACGUGCCAGCAGCCGGGGUAAUAGGCAGGGGGAAGCGUUAAUCGGGGUUAAUGGGUGUAAAGGGAGAGGAGACGGUUGGACAAGUCUGAAGUGAAAUCCCGGGGCUCAACCCCGGGACUGCUUUGGAAACUGCCUGGCUGGAGUGCAGGAGAGGCAAGCGGAAUGCCUGGUGUAGCGGUGAAAUGCGUAGAUAUUAGGAAGAACACCAGUGGCGAAGGCGGCUUGCUGGACAGUAACUGACGUUGAGGCUCGAAAGCGUGGGGAGCAAACAGGAUUAGAUACCCCAGUAGUC
rnacentral:rRNA from 1 species